GGUGGGUUUGUAAGUCAGAUGUGAAAGCCUCCUGUUCAACGGGAGAAUUGCAUCUGAAACUGUGAAUCUUGAGUGUAGGAGGGGAGAGUGGAACUUCUGGUGGAGCGGUGAAAUGCGUAGAUAUCAGAAGGAACGCCGGCGGCGAAAGCGAUUCUCUGGCCUAUUACUGACACUCAGUGUGCGAAAGCUAGGGGAGCAAACGGGAUUAGAUACCCCGGUAGUCCUAGCCGUAAACGAUGGGCACUAAGUAGAGGGGUUU
rnacentral:rRNA from 1 species